GGGACUGAGAUACGGCCCAGACUCCUACGGGAGGCAGCAGUAGGGAAUUUUGCGCAAUGGACGAAAGUCUGACGCAGCAACGCCGCGUGAGCGAUGAAGGUCUUCGGAUCGUAAAGCUCUGUUGAGUGGGAAGAAACGUCUCGGGGUUAAUAUCUCCGAGGCCUGACGGUACCACUCGAGGAAGCUCCGGCCAACUACGUGCCAGCAGCCCGCGGUAAUACGUCGGGAGCGAGCGUUGUUCGGAAUCACUGGGCGUAAAGUGGAGUGCAGGCGGAAAGGUAAGUCCGCAAGUGUAAUCUACGGGCUUAACCCGUAUCUCGCUUUUGAUACUGCUUUUCUUGAGUAAUGGAGAGGGAAACGGAAUUCCAGGUGUAGCGGUGGAAUGCGUAGAUAUCUGGAAGAACACCAGUAGCGAAGNCGGUUUCCUGGCCACAUACUGACGCUGAGGCUCGAAAGCGUGGGGAGCAAACAGGAUUAGAUACCCUGGUAGUCCACGCCGUAAACGAUGGGCACUAGAUAUCGGGGAAUUCGAUUUCUUCGGUGUCGCAGUUAACGCGAUAAGUGCCCCGCCUGGGGAGUACGCCCGCAAGGGUGAAACUCAAAGGAAUUGACGGGGGCCCGCACAAGCGGUGGAGCAUGCGCUUUAAUUCGAUGCAACGCGAAGAACCUUACCUGGGUUUGACAUGGGAGUGAAAGCUCCUAGAGAUAGGAACCUUUCCUUCGGGAACACUCCACACAGGUGCUGCAUGGUUGUCGUCAGCUCGUGUCGUGAGAUGUUGGGUUAAGUCCCGCAACGAGCGCAACCCUCGCCCUUAGUUGCCAUCAGGUAAUGCUGGGAACUCUAGGGGGACCGCCUGGAACAACCAGGAGGAAGGUGGGGAUGAUGUCAAAUCAUCAUGGCUCUUACGUCCAGGGCUAGACGCGUGCUACAAUGGUCGGUACAGAAGGAUGCCAAGUCGUGAGACCGAGCUAAUCCAUGAAAACCGGCCUCAGUUCGGAUUGGAGUCUGCAAUUCGACUCCAUGAAGGUGGAAUCGCUAGUAAUCGCGGAUCAGCAUGCCGCGGUGAAUAUGUUCCCGGGCCUCGUACACACCGCCCGUCAAGCCACGAAAGAUGGGAGUACCCGAAGUCGCUUGCCCAACCUGCAAGG
rnacentral:rRNA from 1 species